rnacentral:rRNA from 1 species
UACAGAGGUCUCAAGCGUUGUUCGGAUUCAUUUGGGCGGUAAAGGGUGCGUAGGCGGCGCGGUAAGUCGGGAUGUGAAAUCUCGGAGCUUAACUCCGAAACUGCAUUCGAUACUGCCGUGCUUGAGGACUGGAGAGGAGACUGGAAUUUACGGUGUAAGCGGUGAAAUGCGUAGAUAUCGUAAGGAAGACCAGUGGCGAAGGCGGGUCUCUGGACAGUUCCUGACGCUGAGGCACGAAGGCCAGGGGAGCAAACAGG